rnacentral:rRNA from 1 species
CAUGUCCUACGGGGCGCAGCAGUGGGGAAUAUUGCUCAAUGGGGGAAACCCUGAAGCAGCAACGCCGCGUGGAGGAUGAAGGUUUUAGGAUUGUAAACUCCUUUUGUGAGAGAAGAUAAUGACGGUAUCUCACGAAUAAGCACCGGCUAACUCCGUGCCAGCAGCCGCGGUAAUACGGAGGGUGCAAGCGUUACUCGGAAUCACUGGGCGUAAUGAGUGCGCAGGCGGGCUUGUAAGUCAGCUGUGAAAUCCUGUAGCUUAACUACAGAACUGCAUUUGAAACUAUGAGUCUAGAGUGUGGGAGG